GAUGAACGCUGGCUACAGGCUUAACACAUGCAAGUCGAGGGGAAACGACGGGGACGCUUGCUUCCCCGGGCGUCGACCGGCGCACGGGUGAGUAACGCGUAUCCAACCUGCCUCUCACUGAGGGAUAACCCGUCGCAAGUCGGCCUACUACUUCAUGGCAUCGUCUGCGGGCAUCCUACGACGAUUAAAGAUUUCAUCGGUCAGGGAUGGGGUGGCGUCUGCUUAGCUUGUUUGCGGAGUAACGGCCAACCAAGGGCACGAUCAGUAGGGGUUCUGAGAGGAAGGUCCCCCACGAUGGAACUGAGGCACGGGCCAAACUCCGACGGGAGGCAGCGGUGAGGAAUAUUAAUCAAUGGGCGGGAGCCGGAGCCAGCCAAGUAGCGUGAAGGAGGACGGCCGUAUGGAUUGUAAUCUUCUUUUAUGCGAAGAUAAAGUGAGGGACGUAUCCUUGAUUGCAGGUACCGCAUGAAGAAAGACCGGGUAAUUCCGUG
rnacentral:rRNA from 1 species